CUUUAUGGUAGGACAGAAGGGGGACACCUUCGGGUGUGCUGGUUCCUUGGAUCCCAGUCUGUCAACCCUCUUUUGUUCUGCCACCAUU
rfam:Caenorhabditis remanei strain PB4641 contig2749.2, whole genome shotgun sequence.